UACGGAGGGUGCAAGCGUUGUUCGGAAUUAUUGGGCGUAAAGCGCGCGCAGGCGGCCUGGAAAGUCUAUGGGUGAAAUGCCGGGGCUCAACCCCGUGCAUGCCCAGGAUACUGCCAGGCUGGAGACACGUAGAGGCAGGCGGAAUUUCGGGUGUAGCGGUGGAAUGCGUAGAUAUCCGAAAGAACACCAGUGGCGAAGGCGGCCUGCUGGGCGUGAUCUGACGCUGAGGCGCGAAAGCGUGGGGAGCAAA
rnacentral:rRNA from 1 species